CAGCAGCCACGGGAAUACGAAGGGUGCAAGCGUUAAUCGGAAUUACUGGGCGUAAAGCGUGCGUAGGCGGUGAGUUAAGUCUGCUGUGAAAUCCCCGGGCUCAACCUGGGAAUGGCAGUGGAUACUGGCUCGCUAGAGUGUGUCAGGGGGGGGUGGAAUUCCGCGUGUAGCAGUGAAAUGCGUAGAUAUGCGGAGGAACACCGAUGGCGAAGGCAGCCCCCUGGGCCAGCACUGACGCUCAUGCACGAAAGCGUGGGGAGCAAACAGGAUUAGAUACCCGUGUAGUCCCUGUCUCUUAUAA
rnacentral:rRNA from 1 species